AGCAGCCGCGGUAAUUCCAGCUCCAAUAGCGUAUAUUAAAGUUGUUGCAGUUAAAAGCUCGUAGUUGAACUUCGGGGUCUACCCAUUGGUCAGGCUUAAUUGUCUGCACUGGUGAGAUGAAUCUCUACCUUCUGAGGAACUUUCAUGCCAUUUAUUUGGUGUGAUGGGAAAUCAGGACUGUUACUUUGAAAAAUUGAGUGUUUAAAGCAGACUAUCGUCUGAAUACAUUAGCAUGGAAUAAUGAAAUAGGACGGACUGAUUCUAUUUCGUUGGUUUCUAGGAUCACCGUAAUGAUUAAUAGGGAUAGUUGGGGGCAUUAGAUUCAAUUGUCAGAGGUGAAAUUCUUGGAUUUAUUGAAGACUAACUACUGCGAAAGCAUUUUG
rnacentral:misc_RNA from 1 species